GUGGGGGUCGAAGGGGAGUAGCUCCCAACGCGUGCAUCGACACACUGGCCAUCACGACGAUCGGCCCGGUGCACCACCCGUGCGGUCCCACCCGCCGGGCGAGCGAGACCUUCGGCCGUCCU
rnacentral:sRNA from 1 species